UACAGAGGGGGCAAGCGUUGUUCGGAAUUACUGGGCGUAAAGGGCGCGUAGGCGGCCCGCUAAGUCGAACGUGAAAUCCCCGGGCUCAACCCAGGAACUGCGUCCGAUACUGGUUGGCUUGAAUCCGGGAGAGGGAUGUGGAAUUCCAGGUGUAGCGGUGAAAUGCGUAGAUAUCUGGAGGAACACCGGUGGCGAAGGCGACAUCCUGGACCGGUAUUGACGCUGAGGCGCGAAAGCCAGGGGAGCAAACGGG
rnacentral:rRNA from 1 species